rnacentral:tRNA from 1 species
GCCGGGGUGGCUUAGCUGGUUAGAGCGCUGCACUCAUAAGGAAACUACAGGCCAAAUUUCCUAAGAAAUGCAGAGGCCAUGGGUUCGAAGCCCAUCCCCGGCA